CACUGACAUAAGAAAUGCUGCAGCUGCAUUUCAAAAUCGCAGCUGACCCUCAGCAUCAGGGUAGGGCAAGUCCUUGUGUGCUCUGCUCUGAUCCCCAGGGGAGAAGGGGAGCUCGAGGGAGGCAGGAGGGCAUUGCUCAGCCCCAGUGGCCUCCUGUUAGCAUCAGGAUGAUGGUGGGAGAGAGCUGCCUGUCCAUCCAUCCAUCCAUCCAUCCAUCCAUCCAUCCAUCCAUCCGCCCAGUGCCCAGGCCAUGCAGUGCUGCCAGCCUCCAUCCCCAUGCCUGGGGCAGGCAGCACCCUUCUGUCAGUCCCCACAAGGCACAGGUGCUGAGGAUCUGCUCCAAAAAUCCUCCACCACAGGAAGAAUCACUGUUUGAUGGAGCCCCACUGCUCCUCCCUCCCCUCACUACCGAGCUUAAGCCUCUUCUUCAGCUUCUAGCUAAGUUGAUUAAUGGAAAUAAUUGGUCUCUUUGUGCAUCUGGAGACAGUUGCCGUGACAGCAGUUGUAUUUUUGUUUUGUUCCCAGGUCGAGCUUGUUUUUCCCAUCUCUCAGCUCCAAGGUGCUAAUGAACCAGGGCACUCUGGUUUGCCCCCAGCUCUGACAGACACACAUCCCUGUGAGGGAUGGCUGACAGCAGGGACAAGGCUCAGCCCCAGCAGGCCCUCAGGACAUGGCAGGCUGACACCUUUCUCCCUGCCCAUUUUUUACCCCCUCAAGGCAGGUUCUCACUGGAUGGACACAGCUCUGGGGCAGAGGGAAGAGAGCCAAAUCCCUGCUGUUCACCCAGAGCAGCCAUGGGCACCCACAGGACCCCCUGUCCCCUGCAGGGACCCUUUCAAAGCCUUUAGGAGUCUCUAUGAGUCUCUUCUCCAUUACUUUUAUUUUCUCACAACUUUUUACUUAGUUGUCUUUAUGUGUCAACAUAUUUUUUCACAAACAACUGUGUGGAAGAUCUGCUAGUGCCUGAAGUUACAAAGCAGACAAAGCACAGAGCAGUGACCCUUCAGCUACAGAAGUCCCAGAGCUGCUGUGGCAGGCACAUGCCACGGAUGGUAUGUGUGUUGUGAUACGUGGUCACCCUAUCACACCCGGGCCAUGGGGUAAACCCCUGUGCAAUGGGGAUCCCCUUCUGGCCUGGGUUCCUGCCUUCCUCCAGAUUGUUCUUGAAGAAAAGUCCAAUUGGAUCCCACCUCAAAGGCUGGAGAAUCCCCUGUAGCCCCACAGCUCAGAAGAGCUGAUCACACUGAGGCACUGACCUCUGAGUGAACAUCACCUUCUAAAACCCCACUUGAAUUCCUGGCCCAGGGAUGCUCCACCCCAGCACAAGCUCCCCAGUACCUUGCAGGCUUCCCUGGGCAAGGACAAGUCAAACAAGCACUGAGGAGAUGCAGCUGGGGCUGUUUUCUAGCACAGCUGCCCUUGUCACACAUAAGAGGAAGGCAAAGCCACAGCAGCCUUUGGUGGUUUCUGGGUUGAGGGAGACCUUUCUACAAGGACAGAGGUGACAGCAGCUCCUGAUCCUUCCUGCAGGAAGGGUAAAUCUUUCUGCCUAAGUCCCCAGGGAUGUGACAUCUAAACCUGGGCUGAAGUGGUGCUUGAGACGUGCCUGCAGCACUGGGAAUGCUCAGUGAUUGUUGCCAGCUGCAGUCUCAGGAAAGGGAAAGCUCCUAAUAAAAUCAAUUGCCAAGUAUUUCAUGGUUUGCUGAAGCGCAGCCUGGGCAUAGAAGGACAUGGGGUGUCUCCAGCAUACGUAGGGAAAAUGCUGGAUGCAAGAGAUGAGGUGCUCUGAGAGAACUGUGAGAGGAGGGAUGUCUGUGUGCACCAAAGAGUCCUGAGAUCCUGCACUGCACAGCUCACACAAAACAACUCUGGAAGCUCUGUGCAAGGGACAGCACAGGAACAAGGGAAAGCAGUGACCUGAUCUGAGGACAGAGGGGCUGCUCUGAGUGCAGGAGCCACAAGUGAAGCCACAGAGAGGAUUUGCCAUUUCUGCAGGAGCCAUGAAGGGUUGAGCUUUGGAGGUUCCCUGGAUCUUGCUGGGCUGACUCUACAUGCAGAACAGAACUCUUACAUUGUUCUGUAGAGGCAAACAGCAUUCCUGCAUGUGGGCAGCCUUCAGCAGGAUUUGCACAGCACGUGGCCAGGGAGAGGCCGUGGGGCACAGCUGGCACUGGGGCUGCUUGGAGCCACAGCUGCAAUGUGGCUUGCUACAAGGACAUGGCUGUGGGUAUGGAUAAUACAGCAGGAAAGUCAUUAUGGUGGAAUUGUUGGUAUUAUUUCUCCUCUCAGCAGCCUUCUAGCAUCUAGUAAUUCAUAGAAUACAGAGGGAGGUCAAGUGACUCGAUGCUACAGGAAGGAAAAAACCCAUUUCUGUUUGCAAUAUUUCCCUGUGAAUAAAAGCUUUAUCAGCCAUA